UUCCUUUAUUGCUUUAAAUCCCUGUGGGCA
rnacentral:piRNA from 1 species